UCACUUUCAUUCCCCUUCUCUCUAGAGCAUACCUCCACCUUUACAGGUUAGACUCAACCUGUUCUCUACUCUCACUACAGAUCACAAUGUCAUCUGCAAACAUCAUAGUCCAUGGAGACUCCUGUCUGAUCUCGUCCAUCAACCUGUCCAUCA